rnacentral:rRNA from 1 species
AGUGAACGCCGGCGGUAGGCCUAACACAUGCAAGUCGAACGGCAGCACAGUAAGAGCUUGCUCUUACGGGUGGCGAGUGGCGGACGGGUGAGGAAUACAUCGGAAUCUACUUUUUCGUGGGGGAUAACGUAGGGAAACUUACGCUAAUACCGCAUACGACCUACGGGUGAAAGCAGGGGAUCUUCGGACCUUGCGCGAUUGAAUGAGCCGAUGUCGGAUUAGCUAGUUGGCGGGGUAAAGGCCCACCAAGGCGACGAGCCGUAGCUGGUCUGAGAGGAUGAUCAGCCACACUGGGACUGAGACACGGUCCAGACUCCUACGGGAGGCAGCAGUGGGGAAUAUUGGACAAUGGGCGCAAGCCUGAUCCAGCCAUACCGCGUGGGUGAAGAAGGCCUUCGGGUUGUAAAGCCCUUUUGUUGGGAAAGAAAAGCAGCAGGUUAAUACCCCGCUGUUCUGACGGUACCCAAAGAAUAAGCACCGGCUAACUUCGUG